rnacentral:sRNA from 1 species
UUGACAUUAUUCUUGAUGUGGCUUAACGUCAGGAGUGAGGGUAAGGGAGGAUUCCUCCUCCCCCCUGGUGUCUUAGUAAGCUGGUAGGCUAAUCACUAAGAGUAUCACCAGUAUGAUGACUACCUUCAUCAUAACCCUUUCCUUAUU